rnacentral:rRNA from 1 species
UACAGAGGGUGCGAGCGUUAAUCGGAAUUACUGGGCGUAAAGCGUGCGUAGACGGUUAUGUAAGUCGGAUGUGAAAGCCCCGGGCUUAACCUGGGAAUUGCAUUCGAGACUGCAUAGCUAGGAUCCGGAAGAGGGAAGUGGAAUUUCCGGUGUAGCGGUGAAAUGCGUAGAGAUCGGAAAGAACACCAACGGCGAAAGCACUCUGCUGGGCCGACACUGACACUGAGAGACGAAAGCUAGGGGAGCGAAUGGG